rnacentral:rRNA from 1 species
AUACGGAGGAUGCGAGCGUUAUCCGGAUUUAUUGGGUUUAAAGGGUGCGCAGGCGGGCGUUUAAGUCAGCGGUGAAAGGUUCGGGCUCAACCGGAGCCGUGCCGUUGAUACUGGGUGUCUUGAAUGCGGUCAAGGCCGGCGGAAUGUGGCGUGUAGCGGUGAAAUGCAUAGAUAUGCCACAGAACACCGAUAGCGAAGGCAGCUGGCCGGGCCUGCAUUGACGCUCAGGCACGAAAGCGUGGGGAUCGAACAGGAUUAGAUACCCUGGUAGUCCACGCUGUAAACGAUGGACACUCGUUGUCGGCGACAGACAGUCGGCGGCCAAGCGAAAGUGAUAAGUGUCCCACCUGGGGAGUACGGUCGCAAGGCUGAAACUCAAAUGAAUUGACGGGG